UAAGUCCCUCUAUCCCCAA
rnacentral:tRNA from 1 species